AGAAAAAAGAAAAAAAAUAAACAAAUUGAAGAAAAAAAAUAAACAAAAAGAAGAAAAAAGAAAAAAAAAUAAACAAAUUGUUUUUAUAUGUAAUACUAUAUAAUAUAUAAUCUCUUGAAUGUUAUGCAUGCUUGUACUUUUGCAAGGAUCAUCGAGUUAACGUGUGAUGUAAUUUAUAUGUGCGAAUUAUAUAAAAUUGUAAUAUUUCGUAUAAAGUUUAAUCAAAUUUUGAUCUUUUACGAUCUUAAAAUAAAUCAAAUUAAUCUUAAGGAGAUAAUAAUGAAAAAUUCAUAUUAAUGUUCUAGAUUAAGUGAAUUAAAAAAUUUUAUGUUGAAUUUAUAUUUGAAAUGAUCACGAAUAUGUCACUUUUUAUAUAUUUCGUACAUAUGUUCCGUCACACGCUAUUGAACACGAUCAAAGCAUUUUUACGAUUCUACUCUCGCUUUUUAAGAAAAUUUGACUGGUUUUUACGCCUACGCGAACACGUAUGUAUGUAUGUAUUUCUUCGUUUAUCGAGUCAAAUUCCUAUGAAAAAUCAAAAAUUGUGUGUCGUAAUAUGCUGAGCAAUCAAAGUAUGAUGUGCAGAAAACGAAGAAAACAAAUUUUAUCGAGUUUUUUUUCGAAUCGAAAAAAAUUUCACGAAGACCAUGAUAUGAGAAAUUGGAUUCGUCAAUUUAAUGCGUUAUUCAAAUGAGAAAUCUCGAUGAUUAAUAUCUCGAUGAGAAAUAUCCAUGAUCUCCAAUAUCCAUGAUUCAACAAAAAGAGAGAAAAAGAGAGAGAAAAAAAGAGAGAGAAAGAGAGAGAGAGAGAGAGAGAAAUCAACGAGCGAUAAAAUUUUGUUGAAAUUCGACGACAAAAUGAACGAUCAAAUUUUAACAUAUGUUAAAAAAAGAAUGCUGCUUGAGGUUUGAAUAUCAAACACAAUUUUAUUCGAUUGAAUCGAUUUGAUAGAUUCGGUUAUUUUUUUAGAUUAUCUAUCUGGAAAAAAAAAAUCAUGAGAUACUUUAUUUUAUUUAAUUUUGCAGUAAUUAUAGCCUCUAUAUAAAUUAAAAAAUUAAUUAAAAAAAAAAACAACAAAGAAUGGUUAACUGUGUUUUAUUCAAUUGUUUUAAAUCGUGUUAAUUUGUUCAUUUAUUUUACAAUUAAUCGUAAUGUGAUAUAUUUAUUAAAGCCAUUGAUUUUUUCUUUUAUUUAUUUUUUUUUUUCGAAGAGAGGAAGAGACAAUUAUUAAAUAUCAAAUAAAAUAUAUAAAUCAAAUGUAUAAAUCAAAAAGAGAAAAUUAAAUUAUAAAUUUCAAAUAAGGAGAGUAUGAUAAUUCAAGUUUCAUUACUGCAAAGUGUUGAAACAGAUAAUAAUCGAAGGUACAACAGAUACAUGAUAUAAACGCGUAUGUUUAUUAUUUAACGGCUACAUUUAAUGGCCUAAUUAUUCUUUGGAAGUGUGUUGGCUGUACCACUUGUAGUCUCGAGAAGGGACGUAAAACGGCCACUGAAUAUAAAUUUGCAAUCGAUGGAAUUGUUUUUUUCUCAUUGUGGUGCUCCGUUUAUCGCUACAGGGUAUUUAUAUAAUAUCGUUUGUUAUAUCGACACAAUCGAAAUUAUUCUCUCAGAGCUUAAUUAAAUCGCGCAUGCGUGUAUGGACAAUAUAAAAAAAUCAUCUUUAUAUAUAUAUAUAUUAAUAUCGUUUUUUCAUCUUCUUCUUCUUCUUCUUCUUCUACUUCUUCGACUUCUUCUUCUUCAACUUCUUCAACUUCUCUACUUCUUCAACUUCUCUACUUUAUUCUUCUCGUGAAAUAAAUUGCGUGCAGUUACGACGAUAUGUGCGAAAUUUGGACAUAACGACGUCGUCCCACGUGACCAAUUUUUUCAGGGAAAGAAAUGAAAAAUACAAAAAAGAAAAAUAAAAAAAAAAUAUAAAAAAAGAAAUA